rnacentral:rRNA from 1 species
GACGAACGCUGGCGGCGUGGAUUAGGCAUGCAAGUCGAACGGUAGGAUACCUUCGGGUAUCUGAGAGUGGCGAACGGGUGAGUAACACGUAGGUGAUCUACCCUCAAGAUUGGGACAACCCAGGGAAACUUGGGCUAAUACCGGAUGAAAGCAGCAGCGAUGUUGUUUGAAAGGUGGCGUAAGCUGCCGUUUGGGGAUGAGCCUGCGCUCUAUUAGUUAGUUGGCGGGGUAAAGGCCCACCAAGGCGAUGAUAGAUAGGCGGCCUUAACGGGUGGUCGCCCACACUGGGAUUGAGAUACGGCCCAGACUCCUACGGGAGGCAGCAGUCGAGAAUAGUCUACAAUGGCCGAAAGGCUGAUAGUGCGACGCCGCGUGAACGAGAAGCCCUUCGGGUGUAAAGUUCUUUUAUAUGUGAGCAGUGCUUUCUAUGUGACAGCAUGGGAGAGAGAUAUUAGCAUAUGAAUAAGCAACGGUAACUCCGUGCCAGC